CAAGAAUAAUGAUAUGCUUAAACUAGAACUAAUUGUUCCUGACCUUAUAUUUAAAUGUUGUUCAGAGGUUGGAGAGAUCAGGAGUGGAGUUGUUAGAUAAGGUGCCUGGGAAGAGAUAUGACUCAACUGGCCUGGCAUUUACAAAGUACCCACCCUGUGCCAAGCUAUAUGAAUACAGAAACAAAAGCAAAAUAGUACUGAUCCAACGACCUGACAGUCUCCUAAGAAAAAAAUGAUUUAGACACCUAAGUAAGUUUGGAAUCCACAAAGAACAAAUAAGCAAAAUGAUGAGGCCAAUUUAUAGCAUAUGGAAACAUUUGCACUCUACAAGUUAUUGGAAACAGGGGAGUCAGAAGAGAAGAAACAUGAUGGGUAAAUUUUAUCCAAAGAAAUAUGUACUCCUCAAUGCUACCAGUAUGACAGAGGCCAUUCUUGUCUGUCAGGAAUUCCUGGAAGAUGUU